rnacentral:tRNA from 1 species
GGAGACGUCCAGUAGUGGUUUAUCUGAACGGUUCGCUAAACCGUAGCUCGAAAGAGCCUCGUGGGUUCGAAUCCCACCGUCUCCG